GGGUUGUGAGGUUAAGCAACUAAGCGUACACGGUGGAUGCCUAGGCAGUCAGAGGCGAUGAAGGGCGUGCUAAUCUGCGAAAAGCGUCGGUAAGCUGAUAUGAAGCGUUAUAACCGACGAUACCCGAAUGGGGAAACCCAGUGCAAUACGUUGCACUAUCGUUAGAUGAAUACAUAGUCUAACGAGGCGAACCGGGGGAACUGAAACAUCUAAGUACCCCGAGGAAAAGAAAUCAACCGAGAUUCCCCCAGUAGCGGCGAGCGAACGGGGAGGAGCCCAGAGUCUGAAUCAGUUUGUGUGUUAGUGGAAGCGUCUGGAAAGUCGCACGGUACAGGGUGAUAGUCCCGUACACCAAAAUGCACAGGCUGUGAACUCGAUGAGUAGGGCGGGACACGUGACAUCCUGUCUGAAUAUGGGGGGACCAUCCUCCAAGGCUAAAUACUCCUGACUGACCGAUAGUGAACCAGUACCGUGAGGGAAAGGCGAAAAGAACCCCGGCGAGGGGAGUGAAAUAGAACCUGAAACCGUGUACGUACAAGCAGUGGGAGCACCUUCGUGGUGUGACUGCGUACCUUUUGUAUAAUGGGUCAGCGACUUAUAUUUUGUAGCAAGGUUAACCGAAUAGGGGAGCCGUAGGGAAACCGAGUCUUAACUGGGCGUCUAGUUGCAAGGUAUAGACCCGAAACCCGGUGAUCUAGCCAUGGGCAGGUUGAAGGUUGGGUAACACUAACUGGAGGACCGAACCGACUAAUGUUGAAAAAUUAGCGGAUGACUUGUGGCUGGGGGUGAAAGGCCAAUCAAACCGGGAGAUAGCUGGUUCUCCCCGAAAGCUAUUUAGGUAGCGCCUCGUGAACUCAUCUUCGGGGGUAGAGCACUGUUUCGGCUAGGGGGCCAUCCCGGCUUACCAAACCGAUGCAAACUCCGAAUACCGAAGAAUGUUAUCACGGGAGACACACGGCGGGUGCUAACGUCCGUCGUGAAGAGGGAAACAACCCAGACCGCCAGCUAAGGUCCCAAAGUCAUGGUUAAGUGGGAAACGAUGUGGGAAGGCACAGACAGCCAGGAUGUUGGCUUAGAAGCAGCCAUCAUUUAAAGAAAGCGUAAUAGCUCACUGGUCGAGUCGGCCUGCGCGGAAGAUGUAACGGGGCUAAACCAUGCACCGAAGCUGCGGCAGCGACACUUAGGUGUUGUUGGGUAGGGGAGCGUUCUGUAAGCCGUUGAAGGUGACCUGUGAGGGUUGCUGGAGGUAUCAGAAGUGCGAAUGCUGACAUAAGUAACGAUAAUGCGGGUGAAAAACCCGCACGCCGGAAGACCAAGGGUUCCUGUCCAACGUUAAUCGGGGCAGGGUGAGUCGACCCCUAAGGCGAGGCUGAAAAGCGUAGUCGAUGGGAAACAGGUUAAUAUUCCUGUACUUGGUGUUACUGCGAAGGGGGGACGGAGAAGGCUAGGCUGGCCGGGCGACGGUUGUCCCGGUUUAAGCGUGUAGGGGGAGUGACCAGGUAAAUCCGGUUGCUUAUCAACCCUGAGGCGUGAUGACGAUGCACUACGGUGCAGAAGCAGUUGAUGCCAUGCUUCCAGGAAAAGCCUCUAAGCAUCAGGUAACAUUAAAUCGUACCCCAAACCGACACAGGUGGUCAGGUAGAGAAUACUCAGGCGCUUGAGAGAACUCGGGUGAAGGAACUAGGCAAAAUGGUGCCGUAACUUCGGGAGAAGGCACGCUGGCGUUAGGUGAAAGGACUAGCUCCUGGAGCUGAAGCCAGUCGCAGAUACCAGCUGGCUGCAACUGUUUAAUAAAAACACAGCACUGUGCAAACACGAAAGUGGACGUAUACGGUGUGACGCCUGCCCGGUGCUGGAAGGUUAAUUGAUGGGGUCAGCCGCAAGGCGAAGCUCUUGAUCGAAGCCCCAGUAAACGGCGGCCGUAACUAUAACGGUCCUAAGGUAGCGAAAUUCCUUGUCGGGUAAGUUCCGACCUGCACGAAUGGCGUAAUGAUGGCCAGGCUGUCUCCACCCGAGACUCAGUGAAAUUGAACUCGCUGUGAAGAUGCAGUGUACCCGCGGCAAGACGGAAAGACCCCGUGAACCUUUACUAUAGCUUGACACUGAACAUUGAGCCUUGAUGUGUAGGAUAGGUGGGAGGCCUUGAAGUGUGGACGCCAGUCUGCAUGGAGCCAACCUUGAAAUACCACCCUUUAAUGUUUGAUGUUCUAACUCGGCCCCAUGAUCUGGGGUGAGGACAGUGUCUGGUGGGUAGUUUGACUGGGGCGGUCUCCUCCCAAAGAGUAACGGAGGAGCACGAAGGUUAGCUAAUCACGGUCGGACAUCGUGAGGUUAGUGCAAAGGCAUAAGCUAGCUUGACUGCGAGAGUGACGGCUCGAGCAGGUACGAAAGUAGGUCUUAGUGAUCCGGUGGUUCUGAAUGGAAGGGCCAUCGCUCAACGGAUAAAAGGUACUCCGGGGAUAACAGGCUGAUACCGCCCAAGAGUUCAUAUCGACGGCGGUGUUUGGCACCUCGAUGUCGGCUCAUCACAUCCUGGGGCUGAAGUAGGUCCCAAGGGUAUGGCUGUUCGCCAUUUAAAGUGGUACGCGAGCUGGGUUUAGAACGUCGUGAGACAGUUCGGUCCCUAUCUGCCGUGGGCGUUGGAAGAUUGAGAGGGGCUGCUCCUAGUACGAGAGGACCGGAGUGGACGAAUCACUGGUGUUCGGGUUGUCAUGCCAAUGGCAUUGCCCGGUAGCUAAAUUCGGAAGAGAUAACCGCUGAAAGCAUCUAAGCGGGAAACUUGCCUCGAGAUGAGUCUUCCCUGGGGCUUAAAGCCCCCUGAAGGAACGUUAAAGACUAUGACGUUGAUAGGCUGGGUGUGUAAGUGCAGCGAUGUAUUGAGCUAACCAGUACUAAUGAUCCGUGAGGCUUAACCUUACAACACCGAAGGUGUUU
rnacentral:rRNA from 1 species